rnacentral:rRNA from 1 species
CCUACGGGGGGCAGCAGUGAGGAAUAUUGGUCAAUGGGCGCAAGCCUGAACCAGCCAAGUCGCGUGAGGGAAGACGGCCCUACGGGUUGUAAACCUCUUUUGCCGGGGAGCAAGCCUGAGCACGUGUGCCCAGGCGGAGAGUACCCGGAGAAAAAGCAUCGGCUAACUCCGUGCCAGCAGCCGCGGUAAUACGGAGGAUGCGAGCGUUAUCCGGAUUUAUUGGGUUUAAAGGGUGCGCAGGCGGGCUGUUAAGCCGGCGGUAAAAAUUCAGGGCUCAACCCUGUCGAGCCGUCGGAACUGGCAGG